rnacentral:lncRNA from 1 species
UUUUUUGCUAUAAACUUGACUCUUCAAACUUAUUGUUACUCUUGCUUAGUGUCUACUUCAUGAUCUUGCUACUCUUCUUGUUGACCCCUCAUAUAUUAGCUACUUGCUUAGAGUACUUGUUCCACUCUCUGCCCUGCUUGUUUAGAAUACUUGCCUAGAAUACAUUAUCCAGCCCAGCUUCAUCCUAGCUUGCUCUUUGGUGUGUACCGUGCCUGCCGCCA